UACGGAGGGUGCGAGCGUUGUCCGGAAUCAUUGGGCGUAAAGGGCGCGUAGGUGGCCCGGUGAAUCUUUGGUGAAAGCGCGGGGCUCAACCCUGCGUCGGCCAGGGAUACUGCCGCGGCUCGAGCACUGUAGAGGCAGGCGGAAUUCCGGGUGUAGCGGUGGAAUGCGUAGAGAUCCGGAAGAACACCGGUGGCGAAGGCGGCCUGCUGGGCAGUGGCUGACGCUGAGGCGCGACAGCGUGGGGAGCAAACAGG
rnacentral:rRNA from 1 species